AUAAGUAGAUAAAGUAGAUUGAUGAGAAUAAAAUGGCAUUUCUUAUUACGACAAUGUCAUAACUAUCUUAUUCAUUUUGAGCGGUCAGAUCAAAUCUAAUCCCACGGUCUAGAUUAGUUCUUAUAUAUGUUGGGUUUUUAUAUAGAGGAGGGUUCUUACAUGAGCCUUCCUCAAGAGGAAUAUAUUCUAAACCCUACUUUUAGUUUUUUUUUUAUUGUUCUUUUUUUUUUUCUGUUAUUAUUUGCCUUGCAGGUUUGGAAAGCCAAUAUGCUAUAUCUUCAGAAGAAUACAAGUUUAAGCAUUCUAUAUUCGAUGCUCAUAUUGAUAAGGUGAACCCGAAAUGAAACUAGUAUAUGGUGCUUUAUUUGCUACGUGAAAAUGGUGCUUGACUUAUAUUUUGUUGGAUCUUUUCUUUUACCUUUCAGAUUUUUAUUGGUGUGGUGGAUUAUGGGCACUUCUUCAGUAUCAUUGUUCAUGUAAAUGAAUAACAGAUCUACAUACUCGAUUCUCUGGAUAAUGGCAUUUCUCCAGAUACUUAUUUGUCGCAUGUCUCUGUGUUGGUACUAGUCCAUGUCCAUUUUUAUUUUGAAUUGUUUGAUAUUUACAAGUUUCUAACAAAGCACUAAUGUAUUCUCCACUUCUUAGGUAAAGCAUCUGUAUCACCAAUAUAGUGUGGACAUGAAUUCUUGGAAUUUUUUUUACUGUAACAGGGAAUGCCAAGCAGGACAAUGGGUAUCAUUGUGGAGUUUUCAUGCUUAAGAACUUACAAUAUUGGGAAAAAGGUGAAAAGCUACCUUUUGAGACGGCUAAUGCUACAAAUGCAAAAUUGAUCAUAUUCUGGGAAAUUUUGAAGAAAAAGUUGGCUUCCAAGGAUUGCUUCCUCUAAGAUGGCCGCAGCAGGGUCGACGAUGAUUCAAGAACAGCGGGCAUCGUUCUAGAUGGGGUUUUGAUCUUCCUUGGUGCAAAGUUGAAGAAGCUUUUUGUUAUUACUCUCAUGGUUUUGAUUAAAGUCUUAGAAGUAUUUGUUAUUACUUAAUCAUUGUUAAUGUCUUAAUGACAUUGAGAUUAGCCUUGUUUCUACUGAGAAUUUAGGAAGGUGCUUUAUUGAUUUACUUAAUAAUAUGAUGAAUGAAUGAUGUAUUGAUGAUUAAUUUAGAUCAUUGGGGUCCCCUUCAAUUUGGCAAGGCCAAAAAAUUA